UACGUAGUUUGCAAUCGUGGUCCGGAUUUAUCGUGCGUAAAGCGAGCGCAGGCGGUCUUUUAAGUCUGAUGUGAAAGCCCACGGCUCAACCGUGGAGGGUCAUUGGAAACUGGAAGACUUGAAUGCAGGAGAGGAAAGUGGAAUUCCAUGUGUAGCGGUGAAAUGCGUAGAUAUAUGGAGGAACACCAGUGGCGAAGGCGACUUUCUGGUCUGUAAUUGACGCUGAGGCUCGAAAGCGUGGGGAGCGAAAAGG
rnacentral:misc_RNA from 1 species